UUGGAGUUUGAUUGAACGAGGAAUUCCUAGUAAGCCUAAGUCAUCAGCUUGUGCUGA
rnacentral:rRNA from 14 species